rnacentral:rRNA from 1 species
GAUGAACGCUGGCGGCGUGCUUAACACAUGCAAGUCGAACGGUAAGGCAGAGCUUGCGCGGUGUGUUAGUGGGGAACGCGUGUGUAAAACACGUGCAUAACGCGCCCUAGACUUGGAGAUGCGCUGAAGACGCUGGGGAUAACAGGAGAUAAGCUGCGACCGCGCGGGGAGCGGGUGGGAAGAUUUGUCGGUCUGGGAUGGGCUCACGGCCUAUCAGCUUGUUGGUGGGGGAAUGGCUUACCAAGGCGUUGACGGGUAGCCGGCCUGAGAGGGUGACCGGCCACACUGGGACUGAGACACGGCCCAGACUCCUACGGGAGGCAGCAGUGGGGAAUAUUGCACAAUGGGCGGAAGCCUGAUGCAGCAACGCCGCGUGCGGGAUGACGGCCUUCGGGUUGUAAACCGCUUUCGGCUGGGACGAAGCGAGAGUGACGGUAAUGGGAAAAGAAGCGCCGGCUAACUACGUG